GCCCGGGUGGCGGAAUUGGUAGACGCAGCGGACUUAAAAUCCGCUGUCCGAAAGGACGUACCGGUUCGAGUCCGGUCCUGGGCACCA
rnacentral:tRNA from 1 species